ensembl:lncRNA
GAACCUAAGCACAAAGAAUAGAGCAGGUUACACAACAAAGGGAAAUUACGCAUAAAAGUGGCUCAACAAGAUUAUAUCAGAUUAUCGUCCACUGAAAGGACUUUUCUAUUUGAUUUAUUUAUAUAACGGGGACGAUACAUGUCGUCUGCUUAUCCCAGCUGACUUAAUGAUGGACCCUGCAGUACUGACCUAUUCAGUGGAUGAAUAAUAGCAACUCUUUUUACGAGGAUGAAAGUCGAGGGAGCACUUAACACUUCAGGAACAACAAGGCACAAGCCUGCCAUGAACUGGAAACUGCUGGAACACCAGCGUCACCGUGGGUGCCCAAAGUGGUCUUUUGUUGGGGCAAUUUUUUUUUUAAUUAAUUUUUUUUUUAAAUUUGUGUGUGCGUGCAGAGUCCUGUCUGUGCCCCUCAAGAAUAACAUUUAACUAUUAAUCACAGUUUUACUAAAUAAAAGGAUCUGUCUUGCAUCAGUCACAUGAUGACCAUUAACCAAUGAUCGCCCUUGACGGCAGAACGUGCUGGUUAUGAGCUGGGAACAAGGUCAAAAAGACGUACAGGUGCAUUUUCUGCUGUGUGCAACAGCGCGACAAACAUGAUCUGUCAUUUUAUUAACUGCACAAGUGCUGCU